CGGUGGAGCAUGUGGUUUAAUUCGAUGAUACGCGAGAAACCUUACCAGGGCUUGACAUAUACAGGAAUGUUGUAGAGAUACAGCAGCCGCUUGCGGUCUGUAUACAGGUGCUGCAUGGCUGUCGUCAGCUCGUGCUGUGAAGUGUGGGUUAAGUCCCGCAACGAGCGCAACCCUAUCAUCUGUUGCCAGCAUUUAAGGUGGGGACUCAGAUGAGACUGCCGGUGACAAACCGGGGAAGGUGGGGACGACGUCAAGUCAUCAUGGCCCUUAUGUCCUGGGCUACACACGUGCUACAAUGGCCGGUACAGAGUGAAGCGAAACCGCGAGGUGAAGCAAAACGCAGAAAGCCGGUCUCAGUACGGAUUGGAGUCUGAAACUCGACUUCAUGAAGUUGGAAUCGCUAGUAAUCGCGCAUCAGCAUGGCGCGGUGAAUACGUUCCCGGGCCUU
rnacentral:rRNA from 1 species